rnacentral:rRNA from 1 species
UACGUAGGGUGCAAGCGUUAAUCGGAAUUACUGGGCGUAAAGCGUGCGCAGGCGGUUUUGUAAGUCAGAAUGUGAAAUCCCCGGGCUUAACCUGGGAACUGCGUUUGAAACUACAAGGCUAGAGUGUGACAGAGGGGGGUGGAAUUCCACGUGUAGCAGUGAAAUGCGUAGAGAUGUGGAGGAACACCGAUGGCGAAGGCAGCCCCCUGGGUUAACACUGACGCUCAGGCACGAAAGCGUGGGGGAGCAAACAGG